GGUUGAGGGUAAGAAUACCAAAAAAUAUCAAUUUUCUGUAGCAUUACCAGCCAUUAGGCUUAAUUAAACAAUUAUUAGAACAGUAUCAGUGGAGGCUUUAUGAUUCUGUACAGUUUUUGAAGACUUUGUUUUGUUUUCUAGGUUGCUGAAGCAGAAGAUUGUUAUAAUACAGCUCUCCGUCUGUGUCCCACCCAUGCAGACUCUCUGAAUAACCUAGCCAAUAUCAAACGAGAACAGGGAAACAUUGAAGAGGCAGUUCGCUUGUAUCGUAAAGCAUUAGAAGUCUUCCCAGAGUUUGCUGCUGCCCAUUCAAAUUUAGCAAGUGUACUGCAGCAGCAGGGAAAACUGCAGGAAGCUCUGAUGCAUUAUAAGGAGGCUAUUCGAAUCAGUCCUACCUUUG
rnacentral:lncRNA from 1 species